UCGUGUCAGCCUAUUCCCUAGCCAUGAGCCUGUAAAGAUUUACAAAAACCUUGUAGGAACCAGUGAAGAGGCUUAAAUAAGUAUCUCUAUCAUCUUCAUUUCUCAUCACAAGCUACUGAUACACUUUAGUGAAAUAUAAAUGGAGCUGACCACCAUUAAAGAUGCAUUUGAUCGUGUUACAAAGAAACAAAAACUGUCAAGCUCUAAAGCUCAAGAAGUGAUCGAUCAGAUUGACCAAGAAAUCCAGAAGACAUUACAAAAGAUCCAAUCAUCUAAUGAUUGUGAGUCUCAGGUUGAUUAUAAGUCUGCCCUUGCCGAACUUAAAGUGAAGCUAAAAGAUAUUGCUCCACUCAGUCAGUUGGAAAGCACGCAGAAGGAACUGAACGGAGCAC